GCAUGGGCCCUAUGAAGAUCCUGAGUCAACUGAUGUACUUUAGACAUAAGCUCCCGCCUUGCUACAACCAAGUUCUCAGCCUCUGCUCGUGCCUGCUGCAACUCCAACCUAACAGGCUCUGCAGCCUUCAACUCUGUUUCCAUCUUGGCAAUUUUAUCCAUAAGGCCCCUCAUUUGUUGUUCUCUUUCAGACUUGAUAGCACCAGUGUGAGCAUGCAACAUCUGCAACUCAUGCUGCGCAGCAGCAAGUUCCUGUCUCAAGUUUCCAUGUGUGGCAGCCAGCCUCUGGUUCUCUG
rnacentral:misc_RNA from 1 species